rnacentral:ncRNA from 2 species
AUCUAUCUUCGGGGCAGGGUGUAAUUCCCGACCGGCGGUGAUAAACAAAUUGUUUUAAGCCCGCGAGCUCUUUAAAUGUGGAGCAGGAUUUGGUGUGAUUCCAAAGCCGACAGUAAAGUCUGGAUGGGAGAAGGUGGAG